GGCUCGGCACUACGCGAUUUCAACGCUCAAAUCUUGUCAGGACCUGACGGUAGCAGCAAUACGAGAUGCUUGAGAUAGGCGUAGUUUCCGAGCCUUC
rnacentral:SRP_RNA from 1 species